GGUGGUUCUCAGGUGAAGCACCCUGGAAUCGGGCUCCCUCCUCUCUGGUUCCGGGGUGGGUCAUCUGAGAACCACU
rfam:Myotis lucifugus cont2.11654, whole genome shotgun sequence.